AGUCGAGGGGCAGCAGGGGAGUAGCAAUACUCCCGCUGGCGACCGGCGCACGGGUGAGUAACACGUAUGCAACCUGCCCUUGUCAGGGGGAUAAGCGGAAGAAAUUCCGUCUAAUACCGCAUAAUGCUGCGGGGAGACAUCUCCCUGCAGCCAAAGAUUUAUCGGACAAGGAUGGGCAUGCGGCGCAUUAGCUGGUUGGCGGGGUAACGGCCCACCAAGGCGACGAUGCGUAGGGGUUCUGAGAGGAAGGUCCCCCACACUGGUACUGAGACACGGACCAGACUCCUACGGGAGGCAGCAGUGAGGAAUAUUGGUCAAUGGCCGGGAGGCUGAACCAGCCAAGUCGCGUGAGGGAAGACGGUCCUAUGGAUUGUAAACCUCUUUUGUCAGGGAGCAAAAACUGCCACGCGUGGCAGGAUGAGAGUACCUGAAGAAAAAGCAUCGGCUAACUCCGUGCCAGCAGCCGCGGUAAUACGGAGGAUGCGAGCGUUAUCCGGAUUUAUUGGGUUUAAAGGGUGCGUAGGCGGACAGUUAAGUCAGCGGUAAAAUUGAGAGGCUCAACCUCUUCCCGCCGUUGAAACUGAUUGUCUUGAGUGGGCGAGAAGUAUGCGGAAUGCGUGGUGUAGCGGUGAAAUGCAUAGAUAUCACGCAGAACUCCGAUUGCGAAGGCAGCAUACCGGCGCCCAACUGACGCUGAAGCACGAAAGCGUGGGUAUCGAACAGGAUUAGAUACCCUGGUAGUCCACGCAGUAAACGAUGAAUACUAAUUGUUCGGGUCAAAUGAGAUCUGAGUGAUACAGCGAAAGCGUUAAGUAUUCCACCUGGGGAGUACGCCGGCAACGGUGAAACUCAAAGGAAUUGACGGGGGCCCGCACAAGCGGAGGAACAUGUGGUUUAAUUCGA
rnacentral:rRNA from 1 species